rnacentral:rRNA from 1 species
UCAAGCAAAAAAGAGCGCAUGGUGGAUGCCUUGGCACUGGAAGCCGAAGAAGGACGUGAUAAGCUGCGAAAAGCGGCGGGGAGAAGCAAAUAUUCUGCGAUCCGCCGAUAUCCGAAUGGGGAAACCCAUCCAUGAAAACCAUGGAUAUGUAUAAGUAAAUACAUAGCUUAUACAAGACCCGGGGAACUGAAACAUCUAAGUACCCGGAGGAAGAGAAAGAAACAUCGAUUUCCUGAGUAGCGGCGAGCGAAAGGGAAAGAGCCUAAACCGAGAUGCGUGCAUUUCGGGGUAAUGGACUACAAUAAGUGAGCAAAAGGAUAGAAGAACAGGCAGGAAAGCCUGGCCGAAGAAAGUGAAAGCCUUGUAUUCGAAAUCUGAAUUGCAGCGAGUAGUAUCCGGAGUACUGCGGGACACGAGAAACCCUGCAGGAAGUCGGGGGGACCACCCCCCAAGGCUAAAUACUAACCAGUGACCGAUAGCGCAUAGUACUGUGAAGGAAAGGUGAAAAGAACCCUGGGAAGGGAGUGAAAGAGAACCUGAAACCAUGUGUUUACAAACUGUGGAAGAACUAUUAAAAGUUCAACCGCGUACUUUUUGUAGAACGGUCCGGCGAGUCACGCCGGCUGGCAAGGUUAAGGACUAAAGGUCCGGAGCCGAAGGGAAACCAAGUCUUAAUAGGGCGAAGAGUCAGUCAGCGUGGACCCGAAACCGGGUGAUCUACCCAUGUCCAGGAUGAAGCUGCCGUAAGAGGUAGUGGAGGUCCGAACACACAUCCGUUGAAAAGGGUGGUGAUGAGGUGUGGGUAGGGGAGAAAUUCCAAUCGAACCCGGAGAUAGCUGGUUCUCCUCGAAAUAGCUUUAGGGCUAGCCUUCAGUUAGUCUGCCGCAGGUAGAGCACUGAAUUUCCUAGGGGGCGUCAAAGCCUACCGAAGAAUAUCAAACUCCGAAUGGCGGACAGAUGAUGCUGGGGAGUCAGACUGCACGAGAUAAGUUGGGUGGUCAAAAGGGAAAGAGCCCAGACCUACAGCUAAGGUCCCAAAGUACGUGUUAAGUGGAAAAGGAUGUGGGAUUUCAAAGACAGCUAGGAUGUUGGCUUAGAAGCAGCCAUACAUUAAAAGAGUGCGUAAUAGCUCACUAGCCGAGAGGUCCUGCGCCGAAAAUGUCCGGGGCUAAAACACGACACCGAAGCUUAGGAAUCAGAAAUGAUUGGUAGAGGAGCAUUCUUAAAUCAUCGAAGCUGUACCGAUAAGGAGCAGUGGAGGUUUAAGAAGAGAGAAUGCCGGAAUGAGUAGCGAGAAUGAAGUGAGAAUCUUCAUGGCCGAAUAUCCAAGGUUUCCAGGGUAAAGCUGAUCUGCCCUGGGUUAGUCGGGGCCUAAGGCGAGGCUGAGAAGCGUAGCUGAUGGACAACAGGUUGAAAUUCCUGUACUGCCUUAUAACAGAACUGUGGGGACACAUGUUCAGGUCGCGAGCCGGGAAAGGAAAGCCCGGUGCAAGCAGAGGUUAUCGGUGGGAGGCAAACCCCCCACAAAAGAGAAGACUGCGAUGCGGAGCGAAGAAAAGUAGCGAAGAGCGAUGAGAAUGUGUCGAGAAAAGCCGCUAUUGUUUAUAAGGUACCCGUACCGUAAACCGACACAGGUGGAUGAGGAGAGAAUCCUAAGGCCGGCGGGAGAAGCAUUGUUAAGGAACUCGGCAAAAUGACCCCGUAACUUCGGGAGAAGGGGUGCCCACGAAAGUGGGCCGCAGAGAAUAGGCUCAAGCAACUGUUUAGCAAAAACACAGGUCUAUGCAAAACCGUAAGGUGAGGUAUAUGGCUGACGCCUGCCCGGUGCUGGAAGGUUAAGAGGAGAGGUUAACGAAAGUGAAGCUUUGAAUUUAAGCCCCAGUAAACGGCGGCCGUAACUAUAACGGUCCUAAGGUAGCGAAAUUCCUUGUCGGGUAAGUUCCGACCCGCACGAAAGGCGUAAUGAUUUGAGCACUGUCUCGACAA